GCACUGGGUGAAAGGAUAGGUUACGACUCCCCUGGACAAGGAUGGGAGAACCCUUGACAGCACACAUACGGUUAAGGCAUUGCCACCUGCUUUGUGGCAUUUCACCAUCUAAUGUU
rnacentral:ncRNA from 1 species